AGCAACCUCAGCGUAAGUCUCUGACACUGUUAGGUGGAGGGUGGAAAAAAAAAUUCCCACCCACUCGUGCACACCUCAUUUCGUCGUACUUGAGGGGAGUUUAUACUGCAGAGAGGAAAAGAAGACAACGAUGAAAAUGUCACUGGUGCAAUCAGCAUUAAUGCUACUCACUGUUUACGUUGCAGCAGCGGCUCAGUGUUCCGCCAUUCUGAAUGAAUCCCAAGCAAGAGUGGACGUUCUCGUGGGGUCCUCCCUCACUUUGUGCCACCGACUGAAGAGCUGGACAUCAAAGAGAUUCAGAAUUUGCUGGCAUUUUAAUCCAUCGAGACCCUCGUUGGUCCACUCUGAGCUACUCUUUUGCUCCAACAUGUCAAACAAAACCGAGCAAAAAGAGAUAUCGCUGAACUAUACUUUAGCCAAUGUCACUCAGCAAGACAGCGGAUGGUACUUUUGCCGCAUCCAUGUGGACAUUCCGGAACUGAGGACUCUGGACAGUAGUGGAACACAAGUGGUUGUUCAUCAAGUGGAGGUGGCUCGGGCAUUAUGUCAAGGUGCCACCUGGAUACUUCCCUGGUGAGGUGUUCCAGGCAUGUCCCACUGGGAAGAAUUCCGAGGAUGAGCCAGGACAUGCUGGAGAGACUAUGUUUCCCAGCUGGCUUGGGAACGCCUCGAGGUCCUCCAGGAGGAGCUGGACAAUGUGGCUCGGGAGGGGGGAGUCUGGGCUUCCCUGCUUAAGCUGCUGCCACUGAGACCUGACCUCAGAUAAGUGGAGGAGAAUGGAUUGGAUGGAUGGAUAUUACAAGCUUUUCUUUUUUUGGCUUUGGGCGUUGCACUGUACAGUGUCAUUCAAAAGCUAGGAAAAAGACUCAAAUUCCCGUGUUUUUGCAUGAUUUAAAAAAAAAACUCUAGAAUUUUAGAUAAAUAGUCAAGUCGGUGACAUAUUGAACUAUUGAAAGACUUAUAUUUGGUUUAAAAAAAUGUUAAUCAAAAUAUGUUUUUAUGAUUUUGAUUCUCCAAGUCGGACCCGUUGCCUAGACAACAGCAUUGCACAUCUUCUGCUAUUCUCAGUCAACUUUGUGAUGUGGAUGUUCCUUUAUGACCUGCAAUGACUUUCAGUUCACGGCUAUGCAUUAUCAAGAGUUAAUAGUUUGAUUUUCUUGGCCUCUUAAUUUGUUUGAGACCAUUUCAAUACAAAGGCGUUUCCAAACUUUUGUCUUGUACUGUAUAAGUACAAAGCACUUCAAUCUAGCCAUAUAUUUCUUGCAGAGGGUGUUUCUGUGCCUCCCGGAGAUGUGCCCCUGCUGGAGACAUGGUGGCUGUGGGUCACUGUUGGAGUGCUCGGCUUCAUCAUACUGGCCCUGCUGAUUCUGUGUGUGCUUCUAAUCCGACGAUGUAGACGCAAAGAACCACACUGUGCAAUCUAUGUGAACACUCAUCAUUCCUCACGACCACCUGUUGUCAGGGACCAGCUCAGCGUGGCCCCCAGGUGACAAGUGGCUCGCACUCCAAGUCCUGCUAGGGACAAGCAGAGCAGCAGCAAACAGAGGCCCAGACAGUAGCCAAGAUAGAGCCCACAAAUUCCACACGUUUCUUUCCGAUGUUAUUUAUAUUUAAUGCAGAGUUGUCAUUCCAACGUGGCAAUCAAUGUGUAAUGUCUUCUAAUUAUUUUUAAGAAUUGUUUUCUGAGUCAGGAAAUAACCAGCUUGUUUCCAGCCUGACACAGACACUCGCGAUAGACUCAGCCAUUUUUCACACUGAAAGUCACUCCUGCUAAAGGGUUCUUUAACUUCAACUACCAUUGUGCAAGUGCUAUAGAACUCCAUCCAAAAUUCUGUUUCUUAUGGACGUUUAAGAUGCAUGGUUUUGGAAUGCCAGAGGACGCCUGAGCACUCGCAAUGCAAAUCCACAGCACAAAACCUGUGAGGGAGAUAGCGGUAUGAUAACCACUUCUGCCGGAUAGAUGUCUAGGUACUGUAUAUAAGGCAAAUUGAGACGACUGUUCAGUUGAAACCUUCCAUUACAUCUUCUUUUCCAUUCAAUGUUUUGUUUAUUUGUUUUCCAGUAUGACAUUCACAGUCUUAACCCAAAUGCACAGGCACUAUAUACAUUGUUACAUAUGCAGUAAAUAACAUAUACAUUGUACUGAAAUUGAAGCUCAAAUUUCACCAGAGGCCACAAGAGCUGGACGAAACAAAUCUUUGUAAAGCCCACCUGGAAUCUGCAGACGGCAAAACAUGGAAAAUCGCAAACAAGGUCUGGUCCAGCGUUGUUUACUAACUUAGUUCAGUGAGUCCAAGUGACGAUUCAUCACAUGCAAAACACAUGAUUGAUAUUCCGAAAGCAAAUCUCCAGUCAGAUGUCUUAAGACUCGAUGAUACAGUAGAUAAGGCACAUGCGCUUCACCGUCAAAAGUGUCGCUCUUUCAACAAUAUCGGGAGAUGGGGUUCUCAAAGCAAAAUUUGUUGUUUAUUAAUAUGGCAAUCUUAUACACACACACCAAAAAAAAUUGCAAUUUUUAACUUGUCACAAUAGGAAUAUACAAAAAAAAAAACAA